GGAACAGUAUUAAUCUAGACACCACGCUCGCUAGAUCUCUCCAGUCACCACGUCAUCACCAACCCCUCGAGUCUAAGCACCCCAGUGUCCGUCUGUGUCUUGUCGUGGGCGUGACGUUCAGUUACGGCAGGGACAGCAACGGGAAGCUUGAUCUCCGUCGGUUUUCGUGCGGCGGGGUGACGUGCCUUUGCUGUGAGGUUAUCGGACCACAGCACAGCACGGCUGAGGAGAAGCGUUGACGAUCCAAAGGCCUGACUCCACAGUGGUAAUGAGCCUCGUCUACCUUGCACUUAACGGACAACGCUCACUACCAACACCUCUGCCUCCGCCACCGCCGCAAGAUUGGGGAAGGACUCACUGCCUUGCAUCGCGCACACGGUCUACGCUUAACGACCGCCGCUGCCGCCGUUGAGGGAGACUGGCUGGAUGAGUGGCUGGGUGAGAGGGUGAUGUGGUGAGGCGGAGGAUUGGAGACGAGAACCAACAGAUGACGGCAGACACGGAAGAUUCCACUAACCAGGAGUUGGUGAUCCGAAGCCGUGACUGCAGCGAUCCCGUGCGGCCUGCACUAUCAGGGAAGGACUCUGGCUUCGCACUGCGCCUACAUUGACCGUUGCCGCCGCCGCUGCUGCUACCGCUACUCAGAGGGGCACUGCCUCGCAUUGGGCCUUCACUGCGUCCCGCUAAGACACGUGCCGCCGUCACCGCUACUGGCAAUGAGGGACUUCGCCUCGCAGCGGCCUGGCAAACACCUACCAUCACCGCCGCCACAGCUGCCCCGCCGCCGCUUCUCGGUUGAGGGUUUCUGCCUCGCAUUGAGCCUUCACUGCCGUCCCGCUGUCGCCGAUACCGACACUGAGGGACUUCGCCUCGCAGCGGCCUGGCGAACACCUGCUACACCACCACCUCUAACGCCACCGCCCACCACCACCGCAGUCCAGAGAGAUUCAGCUUCGCAUAGCAGACAUCCUCUUACUCAAUGCUUGCUACCACUACCACCUCAUUAUGGUGUCACUGUACUUGAAGCUUGGAUAUGUUGUCACUACUGAUUAAUAAAUUGUAAAGAAAU